AGAAUUCCUGGAAAUAAUCAGGUCCUGGUAGAACUGAGGAGCAUUUCGUCAGUCUUUUUCCUUGAACUGGGUUGAGUGCAGCUUGCAGAACAUUUGGUCCUGGGGGCACCAACACGAGUUUGAGGACCCAUCCGCUCGUGUUCCCAGAUGAACCCAGAGGAGCCCCUUGCUACAAGCUGCAGUGAGCUCUGCUGUAUUUUGACAGUGUUUGACAUUUCCCAGACAAUUAUUAAAUCUGCCAAUUGAAGAUAUUUAACGCUCUCCUUCCAGCAGUGGUGCCUAUAAACCUUGGUUUGCCCUUCAAAGAACUGUUAGCUGAAGCUUCUGCAUUUUGUCACUUGCCAAAUGCCACCAGUGAAGCUCUGCUUUCGUUGCUUUGGGCAUUUACACGUUGCCUUUAAUUAGGACAUGUGCUUUUGUGGCCAGGGGCUGAUUGGCAGCUCUGUACUGACAAAGUCCAGGAGAAAAAUAGAUGGUGUGCUGCAUUAUUUGUUAUACUUGAAGGAAUGGUUAUUUUAGCUCAGCUGCCUUUGUACACAUCCUUUAGGAGGGGGGAUGCAAGGCCUCAGAAUCCAGCUUCCUUCAUGAGUUCUUAAAGCACGAACUCUUAAAGGUUAAAAUACCUCUGGCAAUGUGGAUCAAUACAUGGGGAUUUAAGAGUGCUCUAAAUUAAGCAGACAAAUGAGUUAAACUGCAUUUAGCUAAUUCCCUGGCUGUGAAUAACCCAGCCAGUCCUGAGCCUCAGCUCAGGAGCCAUCUGAGGCUGUCUGGUAUUUAUAGCAGAGAUCUCAGACUUCCUUGGAAGUGGUUGGGCUGCAAGUUAUGGCUUUAUGGACCAGAAGGUAGGAGGCACUUUAAAAUGGCCUCUUUUAGUGCAGAUCUGAGACUUCUGCUUCUGUCCUAGACUUCAGACAGUGGCUUUCACAGGGGUCCCAUCUUGGGUCUGUUUUUUUCCUUAAGGCACAGCUUUGUUUUGCCAAGUCUCUGUGAAUUAGGACAACCUUUACUGUAGAUCCAUAGAUGCAUCUCUCUAGGAAGCUGUAUUCUAUGAGGAUACAGGGCAGGCUUAAAAAUAGUUCAACUUCCCAUUAAUUACUCAGUAGGAAAGUAGCUGUGUGAAUAGCUGAGCAGCAGCUCUGGUUGGGUGUUGGCCCUGCAAUGAAUGCCUGUUGUUUAAUCUGAAGGGCUGCUGUAGGCAAUCUUCCUGCAAGCAAGAAUCUUCUGAGUGGCUGAGAUCUACAGGUUCCUAAUCAGAGCAAAGGCUGUCCCAACCAAAUCAGAGCUGGACUCCUGAUUGCAUCCUGAUAGGGAAGAUUACUCAUCCAGGGGAAAAGAGCUGCUGUUUUAUUGAGGGUUUUGGCAUAUGUUAACUGAGCAUCUCUAGGCACUCAGUAAUGCUUCAGCUCUGCUUUUUGGAGCCCAUGAGCAGGGUUUGCCUGAUUCUAAGGAACGUUACCUGCUUUCUAAUGAGGCUGAGCAAGGCUGAGUGCCCUAUAAUCCCACGUAUGUAUACAGACUGAUGGAGGAACUCACUCAGAACAGCCCUGUGGAGAAGCACUUGGGAUCCUGGUGGGUGAAAAGCUGGACGUGAGCCAGAGGUGUGUGCUUGCAGCCUGGAAAGCCAACAGCAUCAUGGGCUACAUCAGCAGAGGGGUGGCAUUGGGCAGGGAACAGACUGACCCCUCUCACUCAGCCCUUGUGAGGCCUUAUCUAGACUACUGUGUCCAAGCCUGGGACCUCCAGUGCAGGAGGAAUGUGAAUGUGGAGGGAUGUGGAGCUGUUGGAGCAAGUCCAGAGAAGGCCACACAUGCUCAUAGGGCUGGAGAACCUCUCCUAUGAAGAAAGGCUGAGGGGUUGGGCUUGUUUAGCUUGGAGAGAAGGCUCUGAGGAGACCUCACUGCUGCCUUCCUGUAUUUGAGGGGAGCUUACAAGCACUUUUUACACACUCCAGCAGUGAUUGGAUGAGGGGGAAUGGCUUUAAACUAAAAGAGAGGAGAUUUAGGUUGGAUGUCAGGAAGAAAUAUCUUACUUGAGGGCCAGUGAGACUCUGGAACAACUGCCCAGAGCUGUGGGUACCCCAUCCCUGGAGGUGCCCAAGGCUGUGGAUGGAGCCUUGAGCAGCCUCAGCCAGGGAUUAGGUAUCCAGCCCAUGGUGGGGGCUUGGAACUGGGUAAUCUUUAAGAUCCCCUCCAACCUAAGCCAUUCUGUGUAUGUUUCUGUGAUUUCUUCAGGAAGCCCUUCUUUCAGCCCAUUUAACAUACGCUUCAUCAAGUUGUCUGGGAUACUGGCAUCUGUUGUUUCUUGGCUGAAUCCCUCUGGUUAGUAUCAGUAGCUGCCCUUUUGGAUGCUCGUUUCUGACUCAUUCUUUUUGUUUCCCUAUUUGUUAGCUGAACACAGUGGGGGGCAAAAAGUCAGUACUACAGUCAACCCCCUCCUACCAUGCAAGGAGCAAUGGGUGGUUUUGUGAUGGCAUAUUUUGAGAGACCAGAACUUGAAGUCCUACAACACAGGUAAGUGACUUGAACUGGGAUUUGCCCUUUAUGUUCCUGCUCCAAGGAUCACCUUUAUUUUUCUUGGAAAAGAGAACAAGCACAAAGAUGUACCUCAAUGUAGGAAAAGGAAAAUCAAAUUCUUGCUUGUGUGUUUGUUACAAAAGGCAAUUAAGCUUGAAUCAGUAACAUGCUGAACCUUCUUCCUCUCACUGGGGCAUGGUUUGUGGUUGCAGCCAGUUUCUUCAGGGCAAGGGGAAAGGUUUGCUGUGAUAGUUCAUUAGAUUAACUAACCCAUACCAUGCCUGCUGCUGCUAAUUCAAAUUCUAGCUCUUUCUCUAAACAGUGGCACUUGCUGUUCUUUUACCAACUGUAGGUUGUUCUUAGCUAUCAGAGCCUUGGUUUUUCUUCCAUCCCAACACCCAGCUUCUUUAACAAGAACAUAACUGAUGCCUUCUCUGCCUGUCAUUUUCUGACACGCUCUCUGUGCAGAGUGCAGUGCUUUCCAUCCAGCUAUGCCCCCUGAGGACAGACCUUCGUGCUACUGGAUUGCAAGGCUGUGAAGAAGAGGUACAUAUUGUAUUCCAUUGCAGGGUCAAUGUAGCUUGCUCAGCAGUGGAGGAGCAAUGAGAAAAAUCCAUUUGGACCAUCCAGCCUUGGUCUGACUCACACCAGAGCUGCCUUGCAUAUUCACCUCUUAGCUGCAGGGCAGGUUGUAGGUUCUCAAGCAGCUCCAGACUACAGAAGCUGGUGCAGUACUCAGGGCUGGUGUUGCUGCCCCAGGUUUCAGCUGAUGUCUGUGCUGCACCUGGAGUGAGACUCAGCCUCUGUGCCUGCCCCAGCUUCCAAAAAGGCUCCUUUCCUCUUUCCAGGGGAUUAUUGGUUCAUUGCUCACACACGAGGUGGAUACUCUCAGUGCCUUUCAGCUGAACACGGGGUUCCCUCUUUGGUACAAAGCAGCUGGCAAUUUUGUCUCGGCUGAUAGUUCAACAGAUGGCUGCUUAAAAACAGAAAGCAAUCAAAGCAGGAGACUUUCUUCUCUUCAAGGACUGUGCUGAGGUCAGCUUCCAGAACAAUGCAGGAUGUUUCAGCUACGGCACAGGGUCCGAAAGGACAGAUGUGUGUAUCUGGAAAUUUUAGAGGCAGAUAGAGGCUUAUGUGACCUGAAAGUUAGGGAAUUUCCAUCCUGGAAGAUAUUUAACAUUGUAUGCAAUCAUGUUUAACUUUGAAAUUGGCCCCCUUUCUAAUAGGGGAUGGGUUGAUCACUGGACUUUAGAGGUCUUUUCCAACCUUAAUGGUUCUCUUGAAGAGCAGCUGUUUUGGGCUCACCUGGAUUAUCACCAUAACAAGUGGAGUUUCUUUUGGGAAAACAUCCCCAGGAGAGAUUGCAUUUGCUAUCUGACCCUUGUUUGUGUUUUGUGCCAGCUGUUUGUGCCAGAAGCUUUGAAAUUGUGCCGUGGGCUCAAAGGGACAGUUAAAUCAAGGAGGAUGAGUACAGGAUUAGUUCCCAGGGUGACAGGAUGUGUGCAAGGAUGUGUUAUGUUCUCUCAGCUUUUUUCAGAAAACAAACGAGCUUUGUUGUGAGCCAAGAAUAGCAGGAUGAACGAUGGAUGCUUCUGGAAGGUGAUGUGCCUUCAGAGCUCUCUGCAAAUGCUGCCAGUUUGUGUCCUGCCCUGCAAAUGCUGCCUGUUUGGAAGGAGCAAUACUGCUGUCCUGGAGGAAUCCUCAGCACUGAGUACCUUUCAGCUGGCUGUGCUGGGCUUAGGGGUGAGUGACCAAGGCAGGAGGCAAGCAGCUGGGCAUCUCACCCCCACGUCAUACCCCAAGCCUGGAUUAUGACUCCGUGUGUCCCCUGUGGGGCAGGAACCUGCAUGUAGGCAGCUGCCAGAGGAAAGCUGAUGCCUGGGGCAGAAGCAUUCUUGGAUGUGCACAGUCCUCGUGCAUCUUUCCUGAUUGGAGAUGAAUUUCUUCCUGACAAGAGGAGCUCUUAUUUACCACGGCUUCCUCUGCUCCUUCUGUUUAUUGCCCACCUGAAAUCCUCCUUGCCUCCUGUGCUAGCCUUGUUGUUCCAAGAGCAGGCAGUCAUACUCCCACUGCAGCAGGAAGAGGGAUAGGGUCAGUGGCUGAUAGCUGACAGCUCCUUUUUAUGUUCCCAUCUGUUCCCUCUUUUCCCUUCUAAUGAGAUCAGGUGCUGGAGUGCACUGGGAAGACUUUUCAGUGAGAGGAAGUCACAAACGAGGUACUUAGGUCCUUGCUUUCAUCUUUGCUGGUGAGAGGCUGCUCAAAUCAAACCUGCAUCCUCUUGAGCUGCUCCUAGAACAGAAAGAAAGCAAAACUGUGUAGUGAGGCUGGCAGCCCUGCAUCAGGUAAGUUUGUACUGCAGCGCUGAGCCUUGUAGAGAUGCAAAUCUGGCUCUUCUGAGGCUAUUUAAAAAUGUUAUUGGUACUGUUUUGUUUUUUUUUUUACAUGGCUACUGCCUUACAAAAUCUCAGCUAAUUUAAAUGGUCUUAUUCUCCACUCCUUGGGGUGUUGGUGCUUCUCACAUGGACUGUCUUUCUUUUGUGUCACAAGUGACUCCGCUCCUGUUUUGUUUUGAGGAGCUUUUCCCCCCUGCUUUUGGGGACACGUGUUUACGACAGUGCUGGUUUUCCAUGGAGGGGAGCCUUUCUAUAAAGGAGAAACUAGAACAGCUGUUUGGGGCUGUCUUCAUUUUUGGCUGCUUGAUUUCAUGGCUGUUUUGGGGUAAUGUUAAGGAUGGGAAGAGGUUCAGAGGAGAACUUUCUUGGUCAGUCCCUGGUGAAUGAAAGUUGCCUCUCUGCUCCUACUACCAAAAUGUACCCUCCCAGCACAGGACAAGGGCUCUUGUUAGGGAUGCACUGGGUACCCUGCUCAAGAAUUAGUAAGCACUGGUUCAGAUCCAACCCAGAACAGCUUCCCUGUAGCUGCUCAUUAACAGUGCUCCCAGUUCAUUUGGCAGAAGGCUGGCAGCUCUCGUGGUCAACAUGAUGCUUGCAGGCUGCCCCAGCAUCUCCUCAGCACUGAGCUGUGCUGCAGGGAGCUGCAGCAGCUGACCUGACAGCAGCAAGGAAACCAGCUUCAGUGCUUCACAAGUGAUAAGUAAAACAAGCUACUCCCUUCACAGCAUUGCUUCUGGUGCUUUGUAGCUGCUGUAAUUGCUGUGAUGGUGCCAGGUGCUCUUAAGGGCCCGGGUUGGGUUUGUCCUUUCUGUGUCUCCCACUUAAACUGUUGUUGUUUUUUUCGUGCUUCAAAUCACAGAACCAGAUGUUAGUGUUUGAAAAUGCUCUGCAGGAGUGAGAGCUACUAGUCCUGGAUGGCAGACUUGCUGCAGAGCCAAGGACCUUUUCCAUGGACUCAGGACAAAUCUGACCACAAACAGAGCUGCCAAGUGAUGCUGGAAACUGCAGAUGUUGAGCAAGCUGGUGUAGACCAGGUUAGACAAGAGAGGGCUUUUUCCUUUGCCUGGUGAAGCUGAAUGAAGGAGUGCUUGUGGCAUCCAGUGUGGUCCUGAUGCGUUCUAUGGGAUGUGGGUGCCCAGGUAUUACCAUGGAGAGGAUGCCAAGUAGUACUCAGGUUUCUAGUGGCCAGUUUCCCUGUGGAGUUCCUGCCUGCAUCUCUUCCUGCCCAAUUCUUGUUUAAGGAGCAGUGCUACUUGAAGCAUCUCACCCAGCUGUGAGGUUUGGACUUAAGGGCAGGACUGAUGACUUCUUCCUAUCCCCCUGCCUGGUACCACUGUUUCUGCCCUCCUGCAGAGCCAAUAGAGGAGAGAUGCUCUGUGUGUAGACUCCUGUACCUCUGGUCAGGGAGAAGACCUGGUAUUCCCCAACCUCUGCUGCUGGGUGGCACAGGAUGGGGUGAGAAACCUUCUGGCAAGGCCCUGCAGCUGCUGAGAAGAGCCAGAUAUGAGGGAGGUGAGGCUCUCCACUCAUCUGCCUUGAUGGCCAGAAAAGACCACCAACACAUUAGAAACUCCCCUUGAACUGUGAAUAACUUCUUGAAUUGUGUGUGUAUGUGUGUGUGUAUCUUGUGCCUUUACCUACUGAGACAGCUGGCUGGAUGAAGUGGUGCCAUAGUAUAAAAGAAAACCUCAGAGGGCACUGCACUUGCAGGGGCCAUGGUCUUUGCUUUGUUUUGAAGAGCUGUGGAGAGAAAACAAUUUACUCUUUUCAAAUUUGAUGGCUGCACAGGCAGUGUCAGGGUCUCCGAAGUGAAUGUGUUUGAAAUGCUGUCUUGACUUUAGCAGACAGGGAGAAGAGAGAGCAGGGUUUGGAAAUGAGACGGAAAAUAAGCCAAAAGGGAGGAAAGGGUUGAUUGCCAUGGUGGGAAUCAGAAGGGAGAAAAGCAAACCCAGGGCUGUGUGCUGAGGUAUGUACUACCAAAAAAAUCAGUGUUUUCUUCUGCGACGUGGGAUUGCAUUGCUCAGAGGAAAGCAGGGGGAAAUGUGGCUGAAAGGAGCCAAGUUAAUUUCCCUUCUUUCUCUAAGGGGGGGAAAAUAUGAAUCCUGCUUGAAUUGAAGAGGAUUAUUUGUUACUUCAUGAAGUUGCAAUUGGGUAAGCGAUCUCAGUGCAGUUGUUAUUCAGUAGGAAAUGUUCUGAUGGUAUAGAACACUGCAGAUGCUGUGGGUUUGGUGUGGUUAGUGCAGGAAUGAUGCCAGGAAAGGUGUGGUGGUUCUGAGAUGCCUGGUGCAAGCCUACCUGGAGACCCUGCUUUUGGUGUUUGCAGUACCAGCAUCAUCAGGCCUUGCUAAUUAGACCAACUAAUCAAGCAGUGGGGAGAAAGGGAGGCAGACCUUAGUGGAAAAUCUUGCUGCAUCAAGUCAGAAACACGGGCAGCCAAAUGGGAAGUGAGUGUGGAUCAGGAAUGAUUCUCUGAGUUGAUCUUAAUGGUAACAGUUGAGUACUGUGGCAGAAAACAGUUGUGAGUUCACGGAGCAGAGAGGGGUUUAAUGAGGGCUGGGAGGUUUGGUGGUCUCUUGAGAGCAGAGAAAUGGGAUGAUGGGUUCCUGGUGGUGAAAGGAAGCAAGGAGGCUGUUUCUCCCUUGUCCCUGGCCUGCACUUAUUACUGUGCCAUUUGUCCUUGUUGCAGGUGGAUCCCACCCAGAUGGCUGCAGCAUCAGUGCACCACCUCUGAGCUCUCCCAUGAACCAACUCUGCAGGGGAAGGAUUCAUAUCUCAUGCGUGAGGUCUUGGACCUGAAACUGAUUUGAGAAACCACUUCACUACCUUGGACUCAGCUCCUCUCCUAGCUUGCUGUGUGCCCCCAGGCAGCUCUUCCUCUGCUUUCACAUCUGUAUCUGGGCAGCAUGCUCCGAGAGGAUGCUCUUAAUUAAGACUUGUACAACUCAAAGCAUGGAGAAGCCUGGGGUUCGAGUCAGAGAGCAGUGUCUGCAGUCCUACAGAAUGUCUUAAAUGCGUUUGUGCAAAGCGUGGCUUUAAUUUCAGGUUCAUUGCAGGGUUGCCUGCUGUCUGCAGAACCAUGGCUGGAGUGAAGAAGCUACGGGAGGAGCUGGCUGUGGCCUCCCUCUGCUCCACUGCCAGCAGUGAAGGGCAAUCUGGCUGAUGGCGUGCACGUACAGCGACACUUCCCUGCUGUCCACUGGGCUGUCUGUUGGGGAUGCAAUGUAUUCAUUUCCUUCCAAGUCCCUGCUAGCUAGGAAAAGUAAUAAUCUGCAGUGUUUACCUUCUCUGUCCUCAGAAAUUAAGCAGCUUUGGCAGAGCACAUGUGUUUUGCAAAACGCUGGAGCCCCCCGAGGGUUUUGUGUGCAAAAGCUGAGAGAAUCAAAUAAAGCAGUGUUUUGCACAGGGAGCACGCGCUCCUUCUGCUCCAUCACCACGCUCUGUGCAGCAGUCUUGUUGCAUCAGCUGGCCCCUGCUUCCUGCUAAGGUUUGGAGUGUUGAAGUGUUGCAAAGGGAGUUGACCCCUCUGUGGGUUUUUCAAGGGUUACCCAGGACAGAGAGGGCAGCUGGGUGACUGAGUUGUGGCUUUGGAACUGAGGUCGUUACAGGGAAAAAAAAAAAGUCUUAGGAUGUAUUUUUCCCCAUCCAGCUUGUUUGAGCUUCCCUAUCCCAGGCUUCUCCUGUGCUGUUAACUCUGCUUUGCUUCACAGAUAACUUGUCUAGGAAGGAAAAACAACAGCUUCAACUUUGUGCAACAUCUUGACAAGCUUAAAAUCUAAUGUGGGGAAAAAAGAAAAGUGAAACAACUAGACUAUCAUAGAAAGGUUUGAGUUGGAAGGGACCCUAAAGGCCAUCUGGUCCCACUCCCUGCAUUGAGCAGGGACACCCACAGCUCCAUC